rnacentral:antisense_RNA from 1 species
GAGCUGGGAGCAUGUUGGCAGGUCCCUCUUUUUAUUUUCACUGAGAGCUUUAUUUUACUAAGUGCCACUAUCCUUACCUUUCAAUGUGUCUGCAUGCCUAAUUUUUCCUGGUUGUUAGACAAGAACCCGGAUUUUAGUUGAACUCUGGAGCAAAAAUCCUGCAUCAUUUGUAGGUGGGUGUCAUUGUGACUGGCUGCUACCUCCCCAUGAGUCUUCUAAAAUAAAACCUGCAAAUUCACAUCUUCCCCAUGCUUCCAGAGAAUGCAUAUUCUUCCUUUGAAAAAAGAAAACCAGCACUGUUCAUAAUAGCCAAGAUUUGGAAGCCACCUAAGUGUCCAUCAACAGAUGAAUGGAGAAACUGUGGUACAUAUACACAAUGGAGUACUAUUCAGCCAUAAAAAGGAGUGAUAUUCUGUCAUCUGCAACAACAUGAAUGGAACUGGAGAUCGUUAUGUUAAGUUAAAUAAGCCAGACACAGAAAGACAAACAUCACAUAUUUUCACUUAUUUUUGGGAUAUAAAAGGCAAAGCAAUUAAACUCAUGGAGAUAGAGAACAGUUAGAUGGUUACCAGAGGCUAGGAGGAGGAGUGGGGAGGGGGGAGUUGGUGAUGGUUAAUGGGUACAAAAAAAUGAUUAGAAAUAAUAAAUAAGACCUAGUAUUAGAUAGGACAACAGGAGGACUAUAGUCAAAAAUAAUUUAUUUGUACAUCUCAAAGUAACUAAAAGAGUGUAAUUGUAUUAUUUGUAACACGUAGGAUAAAUGCUUGAGGUGACAGAUACCCCCUUUACCCUGAUGUGAUUAUUACACAUUGUAUGCCUGUACCAAAAGAUCUCAUAUACCUCAUAAAUACAUACACCUACUAUGUACCCACACAAAUUAAAAAUUUAAAAAAUUUAAAGAAAUUACAGUUUGUUGGUUUUGAAUAUUUGACCAAAUUUUUUACUAAGCACAGAUGGAUUGAAUACAAUUUUAUUGUCCUUUUGACAUUAUGAUAAUGAAGGUAUCUACACAGAAGUUUGAGAUGAGAAAAAAAUGAUAUAAUAUCCGCCUACUACAUAGUGGGUAGUUUAUAUACUAAAGUUAUUGUUAUGAGAAAGAAUGGCUUAGGAAUAUUAUUUAAAAUUACUAAGGAGUGUUAAAAAUAAAAUACCAAAUGUAAAAAUGACAAAGGCAAGAAGAAACAGUAGAUAAUGUGAGUAAAUCUUAAUCUUUCCAAGAGAGGAGACAGUACAUAAUAUCUAAAAUUGUUAAACCAUAAAAUAGGGGUAUAGUUAUUUUAUUCAUAAUUAAGGAGAUAACUACUAUAGCAUGAAAUAGUGCCAAAAAUGGUUGCCUCUAGGAAAUGUGAUUAUAGAUAUUAUAAUAUUUUGGACUGUGAAAAUCUGCUUUUAAGACUGAGGAAAUACAAGUAGGACAAUAUUUAUUUGAAAUUUGUAUCCUCAGAGAAUGUAAAGAAAUUCAUGUAUCCACAAAAUAAUAAUAGCUGCUAUUUGAAAACAUAGUUUUCUUGAAAGUUAAAAUAGUGAUAGUCUUCUAAAAAUUUUGUUAGUUUUGGUUUUCUCUUUAAUCUGAGUUAUGUAGAAAAGUGCUUAUUUCAAAUUAGGUAGGCUUAUUUUAUUCCUUUUUCUGUCUUUAUUAACUAGAUUUUUAUUGUGUUCAGAAAAUGCCAUGCAUUAAAAGACUACUUUUGAGACUUUCUAGAGAUUUUCUUUGUUGCUAAAGAGAUUUUUGUAAUUGUUACAUGGGAUUUUAAAAAGAAUGUAAAUUAUCCUUUUUGUCAAGUAUAAUGAUUUCUGAAACCUAGCUGUUUCAAAAUACUGUAUAAUACUGUAAUACUAUAUUGUUUUUAGCUAUGUGUACUUAUUUCUUAGAGUGGUAUGUUAAAGCCUCGACCUUGUGACUUUGUUUAUUUCUCUCUCUAGAUCUAAACAUUUCCAAGACAUGUUAUUUGCAAUACCAAGACCAUAACUAUUGUGUAUUCAAUUGAAAUAAAAUAUUUCAGCCCUUUAU